rnacentral:sRNA from 1 species
CGAAUGACAUUGGGCCCUCUACAAGUAUGGAACACCAGAUGAAGUUGGAUGAAGCCUAACAUUGCCUGCCCUGAAGUCAUCAGUUGAAGCUCUCUUGCCUGAGGAUACCUGAAGUGAAAGGAAUCCAAAAAAGUGGUGGAAUGUGCUAUUUGCUUUACAUUCAGGGACAGAGUCCCUGUUUCAUACCGGAGAAGGACGGCUUGCAGAGGAACUGAGUAUGGAACAUCAGAUGAAGUGGAUGAAGCCUAACAUUGCCUGCCCUGAAGUCAUCAGUUGAAGCUCUCUUGCCUGAGGAUACCUGAAGUGAAAGGGACAGAGUCCCUGUCUCAUACCGGACAAGGACGGCUUGCAGAGGAACUGAGUAUGGAACAUCAGAUGAAGUUGGAAGAAGCCUAACAUUGCCUGCCCUGAAGUCAUCAGUUCAAGAUCUCUUGCUUGAGGAUACCUGAAGGGAAAGGUAAGAAACACUUGACUUUCCAAAGGAACUCAAAGUGCUCAGGUGUUGAUGGAGCUCGCAGGAGUUCCCAAACUUGAAUCGUGAUCCUUUGGGACCUGGUUCAGGCUCACUGCCUGUGGCUACUCCUGUGAUUGGAGAAUAGGCCCAUUGGUUCGUGGUAAAGGAUGUGAAUGUCUUGAAUUCUGUUCGCUCACCAAACCUGAUCUAUUUUGAGUACACUAAUUCUCAUGUCAGGGGUUACACCAGCGUGCUUGGAUCAAUGAUGAUUUCCAAUAAAACAUUCCUUGGAAAGCUGAACAAAAUGAGUGAAAACUCAAUACUGCCACUAUCAUCGUGACUGAGGUCCAGAACCUGGGGUCACAAAUGUCACUGAGGGACUCACAUGGCCUCCAUUCAACUUGCAAGACUUGGAUCCAGUGAGAGAGCCUUCAGAAUGUUCUUUGCUUGCCUACAUCACCAGAAAUCAUGGCCUAUAUCAAGGCUUCACCUUUUUCUGUAGUCAUAACAUGCUUUCCCAUUGAGGAUAUCAUUGUCAGUAUCUUGGAAGUUAGCCCUACCAACUCCAACCAGCAAUAAUGUACAGUAGGCUGUGAGGCAAAUGUAAGGUUAGCAGGGGCAGCAAGGUUCGACAAUGUACAGUGGAAUGUCAGGAAAGGUGUUUCUGUCCCUGUCUGAAGCUUUCGCAUGAAUGAUAACCCUUCUUUUUCAUAAAACAGAGAUAAGUAACAGGAAGGUUACAGGUGACAUGUGGAAUGAGUCAGUAGCAAUUCUCAGGAACUAUGGGAAUGUGGACUCUUCCUGUGUGAAAACAAAGCUCUGUCUUCUUGAAAGACUGAUUGU